rnacentral:rRNA from 1 species
UAAGGGCGCACGGUGGAUGCCUUGGCACUAGAAGCCGAUGAAGGACGUUACUAACGACGAUAUGCUUUGGGGAGCUGUAAGUAAGCUUUGAUCCAGAGAUUUCCGAAUGGGGAAACCCAGCAUGAGUUAUGUCAUGUUAUCGAUAUGUGAAUACAUAGCAUAUCAGAAGGCACACCCGGAGAACUGAAACAUCUUAGUACCCGGAGGAAGAGAAAGAAAAUUCGAUUCCCUUAGUAGCGGCGAGCGAAACGGGAAGAGCCCAAACCAACAAGCUUGCUUGUUGGGGUUGUAGGACACUCUAUACGGAGUUACAAAGGACGACAUUAGACGAAUCAUCUGGAAAGAUGAAUCAAAGAAGGUAAUAAUCCUGUAGUCGAAAAUGUUGUCUCUCUUGAGUGGAUCCUGAGUACGACGGAGCACGUGAAAUUCCGUCGGAAUCUGGGAGGACCAUCUCCUAAGGCUAAAUACUCUCUAGUGACCGAUAGUGAACCAGUACCGUGAGGGAAAGGUGAAAAGCACCCCGGAAGGGGAGUGAAAUAGAACCUGAAACCGUGUGCUUACAAGUAGUCAGAGCCCGUUAAUGGGUGAUGGCGUGCCUUUUGUAGAAUGAACCGGCGAGUUACGAUUUGAUGCAAGGUUAAGCAGUAAAUGUGGAGCCGUAGCGAAAGCGAGUCUGAAUAGGGCGUUUAGUAUUUGGUCGUAGACCCGAAACCAGGUGAUCUACCCUUGGUCAGGUUGAAGUUCAGGUAACACUGAAUGGAGGACCGAACCGACUUACGUUGAAAAGUGAGCGGAUGAACUGAGGGUAGCGGAGAAAUUCCAAUCGAACCUGGAGAUAGCUGGUUCUCUCCGAAAUAGCUUUAGGGCUAGCCUCAAGUGAUGAUUAUUGGAGGUAGAGCACUGUUUGGACGAGGGGCCCCUCUCGGGUUACCGAAUUCAGACAAACUCCGAAUGCCAAUUAAUUUAACUUGGGAGUCAGAACAUGGGUGAUAAGGUCCGUGUUCGAAAGGGAAACAGCCCAGACCACCAGCUAAGGUCCCAAAAUAUAUGUUAAGUGGAAAAGGAUGUGGCGUUGCCCAGACAACUAGGAUGUUGGCUUAGAAGCAGCCAUCAUUUAAAGAGUGCGUAAUAGCUCACUAGUCGAGUGACACUGCGCCGAAAAUGUACCGGGGCUAAACAUAUUACCGAAGCUGUGGAUUGUCCUUUGGACAAUGGUAGGAGAGCGUUCUAAGGGCGUUGAAGCAUGAUCGUAAGGACAUGUGGAGCGCUUAGAAGUGAGAAUGCCGGUGUGAGUAGCGAAAGACGGGUGAGAAUCCCGUCCACCGAUUGACUAAGGUUUCCAGAGGAAGGCUCGUCCGCUCUGGGUUAGUCGGGUCCUAAGCUGAGGCCGACAGGCGUAGGCGAUGGAUAACAGGUUGAUAUUCCUGUACCACCUAUAAUCGUUUUAAUCGAUGGGGGGACGCAGUAGGAUAGGCGAAGCGUGCGAUUGGAUUGCACGUCUAAGCAGUAAGGCUGAGUAUUAGGCAAAUCCGGUACUCAUUAAGGCUGAGCUGUGAUGGGGAGAAGACAUUGUGUCUUCGAGUCGUUGAUUUCACACUGCCGAGAAAAGCCUCUAGAUAGAAAAUAGGUGCCCGUACCGCAAACCGACACAGGUAGUCAAGAUGAGAAUUCUAAGGUGAGCGAGCGAACUCUCGUUAAGGAACUCGGCAAAAUGACCCCGUAACUUCGGGAGAAGGGGUGCUCUUUAGGGUUAACGCCCAGAAGAGCCGCAGUGAAUAGGCCCAAGCGACUGUUUAUCAAAAACACAGGUCUCUGCUAAACCGUAAGGUGAUGUAUAGGGGCUGACGCCUGCCCGGUGCUGGAAGGUUAAGAGGAGUGGUUAGCUUCUGCGAAGCUACGAAUCGAAGCCCCAGUAAACGGCGGCCGUAACUAUAACGGUCCUAAGGUAGCGAAAUUCCUUGUCGGGUAAGUUCCGACCCGCACGAAAGGCGUAACGAUUUGGGCACUGUCUCAACG